AAGAAAUUUUUCAAGACCAAUUUAGAACUAGAUCACCUUUCAGCUUGGGUGAAGGAAUACAAGGAUGGAAAAGUUGCUCCAUUUAUCAAGUCUGAACCUAUCCCUGCCACUAACAACGAACCUGUUAAAGUGGUACUUGGGGAAACUCUUCAGGAAAUAGUUUUCAACUAUGGGAAGAAUGUUUUGCUUGAGUUUUAUGCCUCAUGGUGUGGUUACUGCAAAUCCUUGGUUCCAAUCUUGUAUGAAGUUGCUGUCUCAUUCCAUAGUGAUGCUGAUGUUGUUAAUGCAAAACUUGAUGCAACUGCCAACGAUAUCUCAAGAGAAACCUUUGAGGUCUAAGGUUAUCCAAUUUUCUACUUCAGGUCAGCAAGUGGAAAGAUAUCACAAUAUGACGGUGGUAGGACAAAGGAAGACAUCAUAGAAUUCAUUCAAAAGAACAAGGACACAACUGGUGUUGCUCAACAAAAAGUAGAACAACCAAAAGCUCCUGCUCAGCAAGAAGUAGAACAACAUAAAGAUGAGAUUUGAGAGGUAACUUUAAAAGUGGUGGUUACAUACCCUAUAAAUUAAAGAUUGUUUAAAUAUUGUUUUGGAGGUAAAAGUUGGAUGGCCUCCCAAAUGAGAUCAAAUGUGUGACCAACCAAUUAGCCCUUUCUUUUUCAUAUGUCUGCAUCUCUAAUCUAAACUUGAGGUGUUUCAACUUCAAAAUGCUUUGUUAUUAAGUUUGGAUUAGACGGUCACAGAAUUCAAAAACCAUAUGCUUUGUUAUAUAAUGCCCGCGUUUCCAACAUGACUAUGGCUACCGUCUCGAGGAGAUUAUAUGAACAAUUUCCAACGGGACUAUGGCUACCGUCUCGGUCACUUUGAGCGCAAACGUAAGAAGACGGCUCAUAAUGUUCAUAAGCAGUAUAAAACGACCCAGAAGCUUUAUCCCAGAUAGAGGAAAAUUCGACAAUAAUUACAGGACACUCCAAAAUCCGUUUCUUAGAUUUUAAAAUAUCCUUGCAAUAUUCUACUGAACCAAAAUGGUGUGAACUAAUGGCAUUUCAACAAGGAUCGAUGGAAAUUACUGUUAUGGGAUAGGAUUCUAAACAGCUAAGACUUUUGUUGCAGCAGGUAAAUAACAUGAAAUGGAAGCUAAUUGUAAAAUAUUUGAAUUACAGGUGAAUUUGCGUGAAAUAUAAUAUAAUGUCUAUGUCGAAAUCUAUUUUUUAUGGAUUUGUUAUGACAUCUCUCUGAAGGCAGCAAUUGCAAUUGCACAGAGACUUAGUACCAUGAGCAUUUUCUUGCAAGUAUCCUAACCAAGUAAGUGUAUAUUCAUAUAUCAUUCAAUUCAGAUUAAUAUUUAUAGCUCUAGCUUCUGAUGAAAUACUAAUAUAUUUUAACGUGAUGUGUUCAUGUUUCAUUUGAUAUGGUAGAAAAGUACCCAAAGGUUCAUGUGUUCAUGUUUCAUUUGAUAUGCAUUAUUUCAAGAUUAUCAUGCUCUUAUAUCUUUCACAACUGCAAUGGCAACCUUCAUGGAACAAGUAAGAGGUGGUAGAGCCAAAUUUGAACCACAAAGAAUAGUCAUUACUGCUAGAGCUGCUACUGCCAAUGAACUCUAACCUUCAUGGAAUAAGUAUCUAAGAUGAAUAAUUUGUAUACUAAUCUUUUUAUUGUACUUUUGUAGGUUUGAUAAAGAUUUAAGGUGGAGAACUGGUGUAAAUAUAGUUCCAAUUCACUGCAACAACUCUAACAAUUUCGAGGACGUGUAAUGGAUGGCAGGCCUUACGGUGUACCAUGUGUUGAGAAAGUGGAAGGGUACACUGUCAAGUGAAUAAUUGCACCUUGAGAAGGUUCAAAUGCGAAAUAUAACAAAACACUUAACACUGCGAGAGACUACGAUUGUCAUGGAUUUCACACAUUAUAAACAAUAGGAGGAAACUAUGUUUCUGGAGCUAAUGUUUCCAGCUUUGGAACCGGAACUGCUAAAGGUGGUUCUCCAAAAGUAAGAGUUGUGUCUUACAAAUAAUGCUGGCCCCUGACUAUUAAAGACGAAGCGUGUUAUGAUGCUGAUAUCAUAGCAACUUUUGAUAUGGAA